AUUGAACGCUGGCGGCAUGCUUUACACAUGCAAGUCGAACGGUAACAGGCCGCAAGGUGCUGACGAGUGGCGAACGGGUGAGUAAUGCAUCGGAACGUGCCCAGUCGUGGGGGAUAACUACUCGAAAGAGUAGCUAAUACCGCAUACGAUCUAUGGAUGAAAUCGGGGGACCGUAAGGCCUCGCGCGAUUGGAGCGGCCGAUGUCCGAUUAGGUAGUGGGUGGGGUAAAGGCUCACCAAGCCAACGAUCUGUAGCUGGUCUGAGAGGACGAGCAGCCACACUGGGACUGAGACACGGCCCAGACUCCUACGGGAGGCAGCAGUGGGGAAUUUUGGACAAUGGGCGCAAGCCUGAUCCAGCAAUGCCGCGUGCAGGAAGAAGGCCUUCGGGUUGUAAACUGCUUUUGUACGGAACGAAACGGCUCUGGUUAAUACCCGGGGCUAAUGACGGUACCGUAAGAAUAAGCACCGGCUAACUACGUG
rnacentral:rRNA from 1 species